rnacentral:rRNA from 1 species
AGGGGAUAACAGUUGAAACGACUGCUAAUACCCCAUACUCCUUUUACAUUAAUUGUAAUUGGGAAAUGUUUUUUCGCUAAAGGAUGAGACUAUAUGGUAUCAGGUAGUUGGUGGGGUAAGAGCCUACCAAGCCAAUGACGCCUAGCUGGUCUGAGAGGAUGAUCAGCCACACUGGAACUGAGACACGGUCCAG